rnacentral:rRNA from 1 species
AGAGUUUGAUCCUAGCUCAGGAUGAACGCUGGCGGCGUGGAUAAGGCAUGCAAGUCAAGGGGACCGCAAGGUAACCGGCAGACGAGGUAGUAAUACGCAGGUACGCACCGAAGAGUCGGGCAUAGCUCGUCGAAAGACGGGGUAAUUUCCGAUAGUCUCUCCGGAGUAAAGGAGUAAUCCGCUUUUUGAGCGGCCUGUGGAGCAUCAGCUAGUUGGUAGGGUAACGGCCUACCAAGGCUAUGACGCUUAGGGGAGCUGAGAGGCUGACCCCCACCGAUGGGACUGAGACACGGCCCAUACACCUACGGGUGGCUGCAGUCGAGAAUCUUCCACAAUGGACGAAAGUCUGAUGGAGCGACGCCGCGUGAUUGAUGAAGUCCUUCGGGAUGUAAAGAUCUUUUAUAGGGGAGAAAGUUAUUGAUAGUACUCUAUGAAUAAGGGGUUGCUAAACUCGUGCCAGCAGCAGCGGUAAUACGAGUGCCCCGAGCGUUAUCCGGAAUUAUUGGGCGUAAAGGGUCCGCAGGCGGUUUUAUUAGUCUUGUGUGAAAUCUCCCGGCUUAACUGGGAAAACGCAUAGGAAACGGUAGAACUAGAGGAUGUAAGAGGUAUGUGGAACUCAUGGUGUAGGGGUGAAAUCCGUUGAUAUCAUGGGGAACACCAAAAGCGAAGGCAGCAAACUGGCGCAUUUCUGACGCUGAAACACGAAAGCGUAGGUAGCGAAUGGGAUUAGAUACCCCAGUAGUCUACGCCCUAAACGUUGAUCGCUAGCUUUAGGAAGUAUCGACCCUUUCUGAGGCGAAGCUAACGCGUUAAGCGAUCCGCCUGGGUAGUACGAGCGCAAGCUUAAAACUCAAAGGAAUAGACGGGGACUUGCACAAGCGGUGGAUUAUGCGGUUCAAUUCGAUGACAAACGAAAAACCUUACCAAGGCUAGAAAUUCAGAUGUCGGAUAGUGGAAACCUUAUCCUUCUCACAAGGACAUCUGGACAGGUGAUGCAUGGCCGUCGUCAGUUCGUGAUUUGAAUUGUUCCCUUAAGUGGGGUAACGAACGCAACCCUCGUUGGUUGUUACAAGUGUCAACCGCGACGGUAUCGUGACUG